GAGUUUUAUUUUUUUUAAUAUGCUAAUUUUCAAAAGUUUUGGAAUAUUUAUCAAUAAAAAUAUAAACUCGGACCAAAGAAGACGUUUUUAUUCUUCGAAUUUCUCUUCCCUCCAAAUUUCCAUUUUUAUUAAUAAAUAUUUCAAAGAUCUAUUUUAUAGAAAGGUUUUGCAAAUGAAAAUUCUAAAACGUUGCUAUAUCAUGCAUACAGCUGUAGAUAUGGUAGCUCCACAUCGAUAACUGUCGCCACCUAACGCUUUAAUUUAUGACCACGCUAUAUCGUUUCCACUAGCUAUACAUCUUCAGUGAGAGAUAGACAAAUAGCCCAAUAAUGUUACUUGAUUACCUAGAGAUUACUGAAAUCUUCUGAAUACCCUUUCUCUGGCUAGUCUGGUUAUUUACCUUAUCUCAUUUCUUUACAUAUGUACCUUCAUGAUGAAUCAAGAUGUGCGUAAUCGUGAUACAAGUUGAUCUUAGGACAACAGGAAUAUACAGUCGUUAUUGCAUCCCGUGUGCAGUUUCCUCCCUGUAUUUGGACGCGGAUUAGCCCGUGGAUAUCGAAGUCAUUAGAUGGCGAUGAAACUUGGUUAAUAUGGACAUUUAUGGUACGGCUGAUACGGUAUAAUUGUACGGGCAUUAUGGGUAAUCAGUAGGAAGUUGAUUAGCUCGUGACAAUACUAAUAGUGAUGUUUUGUUCAAUACUUAUUUUUACUAUGAAGUAAACAAAAUUCAUCUUCUUACUACGAAGAAGACGAAAGAACAACUAUAUUAAUGAAUCCGAUUUCAUAGAAAACACAGCUUUUAAUUGAACCUAAUUUGACAUAACCUAACAUCUUCGGUGAAAUUAACCAUCAAAUACACCAAAUCCAAAAAAUUCUGUUAUAGCACAUUUAUGUAACAAUCAAAAACAAAGAGAUAACCGAGUGUUCUCGGGAUAGAAACUAUCCCAGUAGAAUCGUUACUCGAUCGAAGCAAACAGAGCGAACGGGUCCCUAGAGCAAACGAAACGGUGGGAAAAUAUUUUUGUCCGGUAGGCGCCGCCAUCAUACAAACGUAGUCGUUGAUCCUAAAAAAUUCGCACGUAACCAUCCGCGAGUGGCCUUUGAAGGCCAUCCAUUUCUUUGAAGUCGGGUUCGUUGCAAGCCCCAGUGUACCCGUAUAUUUUUAGUUACCAGUUUCUCCUUUCUUGUAUAUUACCGGGCUAGCCGUGCUGUAAAGGGCCAUUUCUGCCCGUGGCCCGGAUAAAUGGCCAAGUGGAGGCGUGCAUGCCGCUCAAAGCCGUAUUCACUCAAAUCUACUACUCUCAUCUGCUUGCAUUAUAUGUAAAAAUCCGAUUUUCCCUUAUCCAUCUAUAUUUUUUUUCCACUUCAAGAGGCAAAGAAAGAAAGAAUCAGUUAUGUACGCUAUGUAAAAAAUUAUUCAGUUAUUUAUUUGUUUUCAACAAAAUGUAUUGCAAUUAUUAUUAAAUUACAGGUGAACUAAAUUUGUUUUCAUUAUUUUAUAAUCAUUAGACUGUAGAUGUUUAUACAAAUUCUAAUUUUUAUUGAUACAAUUAAAAAAAUGAAAUCUAAAUAAAAAUUUAUUUCUAGCUUCUAAAUAUUUUAACAUAUGCGUUAUAUUUUAAAUAUUCUAUGUAUUUUUGUAUGCUACGUAUAUGCAUUUCUUUUAAACUUUUCUACUAUUAAAUGUAAAUCGCAAACAAUAAAAUCAUUGCCGUUUGAUUCAUCCGUAGCCGUUAUUUGAAGUAAAUCCUAUCAAAAGUAAACAAGUAUCCCGAUGCUUUUCGCAGUAAUACAUAUAUUUACGAAAGUAUUUCGGUAUACGAAACUGUUAUCGAGUAUCGUCUGCGAGGGUAUGUCCAAUUAAAACUUUCUCUUGCAUCGUUUCUGUACGAAAUAUGCAAAUGUGAAGUAUAAGGCAGAGACAUAGAGGAUGGGCUUGAAAAAUCUGUUCCUAAGAGAAGUAUUAUAACGCUUAUAAAAUAAUGAGCUUGAAUAUUAUCCACAGUUUUUCUGUCAGGCAGCCCCCUAUAUUCCUGUUCACAUGAAUAAUUCAUGGACGGAAAUGAAUAAUAAAAUAUUACGAAUCGUCGAUGUACCGAGCUGCCUAAGUGCCACCUAUUUCGCUGUUUUUACGCGUGUUGCGACCACGAUUACCGACACGGACGAGCUGCAUCAGAUUGUAACACCGUGUUACCACCGAAAGCAAUGAUGUCCAAUAGCCUGGUCAUUCGCCGAGUAUCUGCAGCUCGCGUUGCUAGUUUCGUACCAGGUCGGCAAUCAACAUUUUUCCCGGUGUAUUACAUCUUUUUUAUUUCAGACAAUAUAAUUUACUACUUAAAAAAUUUUUCGAAAUGAAGUUUUUAUUUUUUUCCUCUUCUUUCUCUUUUUUUUUUUUAGAACUCGUUUCGCAGAAAUCUAUAUUUUAUCAAAAAUUCCGUUUGAUCCUAUUAGUUUUUUCAUUUUUUUUUAAUGUUGUUCUGUAUUAUAUUUUUUCAUAAUUAUUUGAUUUAUAAUAACUUGAAUAAUUUUAAGAAAUCAUCUGUCUACAUUAAGACUGCUAUAAGGUAGUAAAAAUAUAUUUCGACUAUAUUUGACAAGGCAAGAGGAAAGCAUCACGCGUUCGGCAGAGGUUAAAGAUAAUUCGUAUCGGUGUGCUAUUGCGACUUCCUUUUUUUCAGUAUACUGAUACAUCAGGUUUUUCGAGCAAUCGUUUUCACUACUUAUCGAAAAACGGAUAUCAAGGUUACUUACUGAUCUUGCUUUACAAAUAAAUAAAAUAUAAACAAAGCUUCAUAUGCGAGUCAUUCGUUAUACAGAAUAAAAACAAACUUCUCACCGGGAAGUAAUAAAUAUUUUUUUCAAAACGGUCAGGCACUUAGUUUCGAGUAGAAACUAAAAAUAAAACAAAACGCUAUUGAAAGAUAAAUCUAAAAUUAAUGAUUAUGUAUUCUGAAAGUGAUAAGAGUGAUAAUGAACCAUCAUAAAUUCAUUAAAAAUAUUCUAUUACCAAAAAAAGACAGCGACAAAAAAUCGUCACAAAAAAGAUUCCGAAAUAACCAAAGUAUCAUAACUAUAUCAAAAAAAGCAUCUCCUCGUUCAUUAAUCUUCCGAAAGAUAAGGAAUAUUUUUAGGAGUACCCUACUCGAGUUCAAAAUUCAUCAUCGAGUCACAUAAAGAGCCAUCUUUAUGUACAAUAGUAAACGGACUCAUGAGGCGGAAAUCGUUUCCCGAUUUCUUGCUGAUCAUAGCCGAGGUCGAAUCGGGAGUGGAGGGGGAGUGGAAUUUCAGCAUGUCGCGGUCUUCGAUAAGAUCAAUUUAAUCGAGAGUACAAGAAAGUUCGCAGGAGUCCAAAGGGGACUUCCACCCCCCUCUUUUCUUCUUCUUCUUCCCCUUUACCGUUCGCUUGUCGAAGCAAACACCGAAAAUCCGGGUCAGUGCACAUCGUCACAAAGAAAUCUACAGCCUACCGUCACCAUAUAAUUUCGCGAUUCCGCGUAAUUGCUACUGAUGACACAAUAAAUUCCUCUCUUCUGCCCUAAGAAUCUUCAAUUUCCGCCCUUCAACCCCUAUAACCGGUCCAUCCGGUACAUGUGUCUCCUCGACGUCCCUCUUAUUCCUCUCGCAAAGCCUCCUUCUUUUCUUCUCUCUUACUCGUUUCUUCGCGUCGUCUCUUAAGGAGAACCUGGUUUUCUCCGGCGAAAUACAAAUUUGUCCGGGAGUGUUUGAAAAAGGAAGAAGAGGAAGAAGAACGAGGAAGAAAUGCUCGGGGGACGAGGCGCGGAAACGCAAAUGCUCGCAGCGACCCGGUGAAUCAUUUAUCCGCGUCGUUCGUUCCGCGAGCCCAGCGACAGAAUCUUUCUUCCGUUGGCCUCUUUGCUCGCCUCUUCCGGCGCAUUGUGAACCCUGUCCCCUGCGAUUCCCUUUCCUCGCCGUUUUCGUUUCCCUGUUGGGAGACUACUGGGAGACUCUGGAUCUGUGGAUUACCCGGGACUCGGUUUUCUUCAAUUAUUAAUCGUCUUUUGCGGUUCUGGUUGAGUUGCUGUUAUAGCGAAAAGAGAGAGGAAACAGAGAAACAGAGUGGAACGGAUGAGUUUCGUUAAACGUUGCUAAAACAAUUUCGUUGAGCUGUUAGAAUGAUUAAUCUGCAGGGAAAUGAGUAUAUAUUUAUGUGUUUGAUAGGAAGUUGUUUUGUGUAGUUAGGUUGUGGUCGAUGUAAAUCUAUUUGAUUCUAAGUGGAUACAAUUUAAGCGGUCUCAAGUGACCCGGGAUGCUAGAGAGGUCUUUCCAGGGUUAAAUGCUCCACUAUUAGAGAACUUGGCUCUUUUAGUCCAAUCAGUGACUUGUACGUGUGCUAAUGUAUAUACUCUAAUACCGUGCCAUUGAUGUUUCUAUCUAGUAUAUUCUAGUGUCAAAUUUUUUCUCUGUUACUUAUAUUUAAUUAUUUUCUUUCCAAAUGAUAUUAGUAUGAAAUUGCUCUAUACAUUUAAAUUAUAUUGCGUAUUAAUAACGUUCACUCUGCGAUGGAAAGAUGCUUUUGAACUUCUAAGGAACCAGUUCAUUUUAUUAUCCAAAUAUCUACCAAAGUAACCUAAACUCGAGCCUUUCCACUUACUAACCGAAUAUGUUUCCCUACCACAAUUUUAGAUUACAUAUGUGUCAUCAGUAAAUAAUAUUACGUGCAAGUACAUCUUCAGUGCGUACAAAGUACCGAACUUUAAACACAAUUUUCUCUCAAAAUUUCAACUAUAUAUUCGCAACACUGUUAUAUAAAGCGUGUAGCUUUCAUGUCUACUAAUUGUUUCAUUCCCUUUCAUUCACAACUUGCUACAUCAUCUUCCACUUUCCUUCUUCCAUUUAUUGUUACACCAUUAUAUUAUACACUAAUGCAAUUUCUGUUAAUUUCAGUUUAAAGUGCUUGAAGCAAAAAAGAUGAAAAAUAAAUGAAAUUAUGCCCUUCAAAAGAUUCGACAGAAAGAUUAAUUCGACGAAGAAUUGGAGGAAGAAUGGCGAACGAAAUUUCGAGAUCCCACGGCACACGACACUUGACAUUAUCUUCGCUGCGGUCGUUUUAAAACGAAACGAUGCUGCUCGUUGGAAACGCGGCUGCAAUUUCAUCUAUAUACAUCUACGUCUGGGGACACUUAAGUCGCGAAAGGGAUGACGAGGAACUCGUCCAUGCAAAUUGACAUUAAUAUGCAAUUGGAACAAUAGAUCCCAAUUAAUUAUCUCUGGUUAAUUGGGAUGCCGUGCCGUGCUGCACGACGUCUUAACGAAGUUACCAUGCAUUCCCCCUAAUUUGGCAGCAAAACGAUACGAAAUUGCGCGAUGUUGCCGGAGAAAAUUAAUAUUUACCACGGUAAUUUCAAGCACGCGUGCAUCUUUCAUUUACAUGCGAUACCAACGUGUUGAAAUUAUUAAAAUUGCCGAUUUGUUGUUACCAUGAUAAAUUCCAACGAUAUAUUUUAUCAUCUUCGCCACCGAUGCAUCAUUUACGUUUCAUCGAAUGUAAAAUUUGAUUUUUAUAGCUAUAAUUGCGCUAUUCUAUUCUAUGAUAGGAGGAAUUGUUUUGAGUUUUAGAGAAUAUGGAUUGAAAAUUCAUUUACCAGACUGAACUACCUAUAUUGUACAGACGCCAUUAAAGUAGAUGCUCAUUAAAGUAAAUUAGCUAUUUGACGAACAUUCAGUUACUUACACGUGAAUCAUUAAACUGAUUUCGUCAAUGACUACGGAAACAAUGAACUUCGCGCCUUAUGAUUAGUAUUUUUAGAUUGUCUCGUCAAAAGCCCCCUCGCCCUCCUCCGGUGAAUAUUCGCAACCUAACCUCACACAUCCCUACUAUAAGAUAACACCAACAAUAAUAAUCGUAAUUACUACAGCCACGAAGAGCAUUUGAUGGAAUCGAGUGUCGAGCCUGCAAAACCGGUAACCAGAUCACCAAGCUAGGGGAUCUCGUUUGAAACCCAAGACAACUGACCAAAAGUAGAGUCGAGAAGAGGACGCGAGCGAACGAUUAUUCGGCGAGCGUUAGGCGAACCGACUUGGAAUCUAGAUGCUUCCGAUAAGGCCGUGCCAGCGGCACGUUGCUGUCGUAGGAUUUGAAGGGAAGCGAAAAAGAAAAGGUGAUGUGGAGGUAAACGACGAAGAAAACGGGAAAGAGGAGAGAGAGAGAGAGAGAGAGAGAGAGAGGGAGAGAGAGAGAGAGAAGAAAGGGGAAAAAGGUGGAAGAGAGUCGCGUUAAGCCGGGAUAAGAAGCGUCUUACGGUGAGAUCGUUACGAGACGAUCCAUUUUCCUUGCAGCGGCUAGGAAAAGAUCACGAAACGAGGAAGGAAGGAAAAGAAGGGGCGACCGUUUACAUACCGUGGUAUUUCCGGUACCGUGUCUUCCGGCUAUUCGAGAGAACCGGGGAAGCCUCGCUGACUCUCUCUUUUCUAUCCCCUAUGAGCAACAAGACACCUCGUCGUUUCACCUCUGAUGCUUCGCUGUUACAAGGCGAAAUUCUCGUUAAAAUUUCGAUACAAUCCCCUAACUCGUAAAAAGGUACUAUUCCUUUUUCGAUUGUUUUAGUUGUGAUACUUAACUUAAUGUUUGGAAUGGUUUGAAAGGUUAUCAAUAUAUGAAGUCAUUAACAUAGGUCUCAUGUAUAAUUACUUACUAACCUAUAAUUCUAUGACGAAUGACAAUUCAUAGAUUUGACUUUUGUUACAUAAGUAGAAUAAAACAAGAAGAUUUCUAAUUUUAAUUGUACAAAGUAUUUUUACUUUUUGCGUUUUGUUCUCUAACUGUAGGUUUUCAGUAGGAUAGCUUUUAGUGUUUAUAUGAGAUUUAUAUACUUCCUAUUAGAGGAAGCACGGGAAGAGAAAUGUUUGAAUAGGGGAAGAUUAUCUUUAACCAAAUAAAGAUAUCGCGUUAACAUUAGUGAAAUGAAAAUAACGGGGAUACGUUUCACCGAUUUGUCAAGAGAUUUUACUUUAUUACAGGAUUUCAUAUACGAUACCUUGUAUACUUGCGUAAUGAAAUGGAGAAUUUCAUAAAAAAUGGGAUUAAUCAAUUUGUCCUCUGAUAGGUUCAAAUAUAGAAUCUGAUAACAAAUGCUUUAUUAAAAAAUAAUGUUCUGUCAACGAAAUUUCAAGACAGUUGCCGGAUGGAUCGUUCUCGUAAGGUAAUUCGGAAAAGGAGGUUAUUUCUCGGGCGUGAAAAGUGUUCACUUGUAGCUAUUACGCGUUAUAUAUUGCGCCUGGCUGUAAUACUUGGUGAAAGGGUUAAAACCCCGGACAGAACGAAUACAUUUCGCCCCGAUGGAGAAGGGGAACAGGAAGCUAAGACGUUUAUUAUAAAGGUAAAGAGAAACGGAACGACGUAAACUGUGCGCCAUUUACAUACAAUAUAUCCACGAGUAAAACCGCAUUUUCUACUGUAUGUGACAUCUACGUCCUUUGCGACAGUCCAGAAGACGAAAUGUUUCGCCCGCGCGAUGAUUUACAUCGCAAACACUCGAAAGCAUGAAUGUGUUCCUAGCCACGCAAACAAAAAGAAAGGCUUCAUUGAAAAAGCAGUGACAUGUCGACCGAAGAAAUUUCAAUUGAUAUCGUUGAAUCUCGGAUACAAAUGUUUAAUCCUUUUAAAUAUGGCUUUCGCCAAUGGACGACAAAACGAAAAUUUCAGUGAGCGGUAUUAAAAUCUUAAAUAAUUUUAAGAUGAAGGAAUCGCUUAUUGAAGACUAUUUUAUGAUAGUUAUACAAAUAAUUAUAGCUUUGUGUUUAUACUAUAUGAUUAGGAACGAUUGAUGGAAGUAUACCCGUAUUUAAAGGGUUAAACUACAAUAGGCAGAUAGCAAGUUUCGUGGAUCGAAUCUAUCAACACGCUCGGUCGAUAAAUUAUCGAACAAGUUAACUGCAUAACUGACCUUGUCAGAAUCAGAUAGUAAUCGACAUUUUAACAAAUUUUCGAAUGUAAGAAUGUAGUAUUCUAUGAAACCACUUUUCGUCCACGUUUUCUGAAUAAAAAUAGUUGACGAAAAGCGGAAAAGGAAUAUCAUGAAUAUCUAUGGGAACAUUGAAAUUCUAAGAGGUUAGGAUCUCUUAACGGAAGACUCUCGGACGGAAGUCCUUGUCAAACAUGAAAAAGGCUAAUGCAUAAUGUAGAAAAAGAGGAAGGAGAGGAAGAUAAACGCCCGAUGGUGACAUAUGUACAAAUCGCUCGUGAUCGAACGUGUAGAGUGCAUCGAUCAAAUUUCGGAUGUCAUGAUUUGUAUUACUGUAAUAUAUAAAUAAUCGAACGUUUCUUUAAAUGUUUCUAACUUGUAGAAUAUAAGAAUGAUAUGUAUAUAUCCUUUAAUACAUUUUUAUAUCUUGAUGAAAGAAUAUCAUUCUGAAUGUUAAGUCCAAAAUAGAGAAACUAUUAAACGUUAUAUUAAAACCGAUUAAAUUAAAAUGUGUUUAAACAUAUUCUAUCCACAUGAAAAAAUUACCUAUUUUUUUCUCUUUUUUUCCUAUAUGUAAAAAAGCAGAGGAACAUUUGAAUUCAAAUACUCCUGUUUAACAUGGAUAUUAUGUCAACGAUUUCCCUCAUUUAUUGGACUUUUUUUCGUUCUCUAUUCUCUUCUUUGCCAGAAGGGGGGGGAAAAUAGUCUGGCUCGAAUUACGAAACUAUCGCAAAUGAGCUUUUUCAAUAGAAACCUAUUCCAGCAAGAAACUCGUAUGGUUAUACGCAUGAUAUGCUAUCUGGAUAUGGUGCUGACAAUGAACCUCGAUCGCACACCGCCCUCAAGCCUAUAUGUCUUGCUGACAAUUUAGCAGCACGAUUCGUACGAUACUGUCGAUACGAUAAACUGCUCGGGGAACGCGAGAUGCUUGCAAAUUGGCGGCAACUAUGUCGCCACAUGUAACACAAAUUGAGGUUAAUUAAAGAGGGAAAUAUAGCGUGGUAAUACGGUCAUGAUACGUCUAAAUGCAUUCACAUUUUUAAUAGACCUUCAGACUUAUACGAAAUCAGCUUUAAUUCACAAUGUAAUACGAUAAGUACGAUAAAUUAUACAGGGUAUCUAGAAAUGAAAUAAAUAAAUUAGUUUUAUAUAAAAUUACGUGUAGACAAACUGAUUUACAUUUUUUCUUUGAAAAGCAAGAUUUGAAAAAAUUGUAUCUAAUUUUAGAUGUGUGCAGAGAAUGAGCACAAGAAUUUAUCUAUGCCCUUGUACACGAUAAUUAAAAAAUUAAUAACAUUAACGUAUGGAUAAAUAGUCUUCAUAUACAAAGAUCACGAAUACCAAUUUGUAUUUUACUUUGAACUUUAACUAUCAGCGAAUUUCAGCGUUAUGCUUCAAGUCGCGUUAUAAUUUUAAUCUGCUUCAGAGGAGGUACAAAUGUCAGUGGCACUAAGAAUAAACAUAGACAUUACGAUAAGCAGGAAAUCAGAAAAUGAGUGUCACUCGUGCUUCAAGAUUCAUAUAUCAAGCUAUCCUGUUAUUCGCGUGUACUAUAUGCUACGAAAGAAAAUCGAGACAGUUUUCCGUGGGCGAAACCGAGUCUUUCGAGAUCCCGUGAAAAAUAUGCAUGUCACAGUAUCAUCGUGAAACCUUUUCCGACACGAUAAAACACGACGUCGCGAAUUGCUCACAUGUUGUCGAGGCCCCGUGCUUCUCUUCUUUUUCCCUCCCUUUUCACUUUCCUCCCUCCCUAACCCUCUUUCUCGCACGUAAUAUGAUUCCAUCACGGCAAUGGCAAAUAUUGCACGCAAUUUCCCCUCAAAUUGCUCUCGUGUAACUUAAUUCGCUGGCGAUGGCGAAGCGCGUCAACCCUCCUUUUUUUCCAUCGGUGAUAAUUUCUCUCACGAUAUCAGUCACACAGAUACGCUUUUUUGUCAGGGUCUCCGCCAUGUUAGACGCUCGCGACGAUCCACCAGAAUCGAAACUCUUUUUUAUAUACGAUUACAACUUAGCCUGCAUACAUACUUUAGUUGUUGCAAAAAAGAAUCAUGGAAAUUUGAUAUUUUAGUUGGUUUAAGUUUAAGUUAACUCUCAUCUUUUAAUGUAUUCGAUAAUAGAUCAACAUCUUUUAACUGGAAAGAAAAUAUCGAAAGAAGAGAUAAACAUUCAUAGUUUUAUUAUGGUACAGUAAAAAGGAUAAGUUUCAAAAAGUUGUUAGAAACACAGAUACAAGAUAAAGAAAAUAUAUUAUUUAUAAUUGCGCGUUUCUUAUCAUUUCUACGUGAUACUCGCGACGAAACUUUUCGUACUACAUUAGUCGAAACAAUUAAGAGACUCGCUUUCACUGAGAAAGCUUUGAAUAUUUAUUUUGUCGCCUGGUGAAAACGUUUAUACGAACAGUUUAAUAAUUCUGAACGAUGUAAUUUCUUACUUUUUUAAGUACCUUUCUCGUUUGCAAAUUCCCAUCUUCCGCAUAUAAUUCACCCAGUGAAACCAAUGAAACCAGCAAAACAUGACUGAGAGUAGUUUCUUGAUAUCUCACGUUACCACUAUCAAGCAAGUAUCACUUAUCGAAGCAUAUACAUACAUACACAUUAUGUUUUAUUAACAUUAUCAAACUGCCAACGUCAACCCUCCAUGAGAGUUAAUUUAACAUCUACUGUCAAUGCCAUCUGCUAAAUAAAAGUUGGAACAUUUGUUCCUUGGACUUUGAAAUCGCUAGUUAAAAACUUUUAGGGAAAAAGUUUUUAGGAACACCGGUGCACAUGUUUAGAGAACGCGUAGUAAAGUAGUGAAUUACGGUAACAUUUUGCGAGAAGAAAGAAAGCUACUAACGAAUAAUCUUAUUGUUACCAUUUUCGUCUAAACUGGGUGCAACUGAAUUUAUCAUCGAGGAAAGGGGAAUGAAGAAAAAAAUGGUCGAUAUCUGGACCGACGUGUUUUUCUCAAGUGUUAUCUGCUUCAAAGGGUUGUUGCAACAUCAUGUCGCCUACUCGAUAUCCUUUAAUGAAUUAACACACGAACGUACAGAGGGUGACGCAUACAGCUCGAAAAAAAAAUCGUUAAUCAUUGGCUAUCCUACGGAACCUGUGUACUAUCCAAGAUAAACAUGUAUUACACUUUUCAUAUCGAGAAGCAGACCUUAUUGCGUAAAAAGCCGGGAGAGAUGUAUCUAUGUAUGUGUGAUAAGUCCAUGCGCGUGAACUGUGUAUAUAGUACCUUUUUAUGGAAUACGGUAUCUUCAAAGUGGUGUAUCCAUUAAGUGUACUGUCAUAUCGCCACGCGUUUUUUUACCACGUUUUCGUUUAGAAAACUUUGGUAAAAGAAGAUCAUUUCGGAUAUUUUAUGGAGUAAUUACCAUUUUUAGAGGAAAUACCGGUUCCUUUAAAAUUAUAUUACAGAAUGUUUAAUGUCUGGUGUUUUAACUACUCAAAUAACAAAGAUUUCAUCUUUAACCUGAUCUUUUUGCUGUCCGAAAUUCUAACUAAGAUAAAUGGAUUUGUAUCCUAGCAUACAAUUCACUCAUGGAGAAUGAAAUGCUAUAUUAUGUCACGUACAUAAAGAAUCUUCUAUCUGAAUGUGGAACUCAUGCUGUCAUAUUUGCAAUAUCUAUAUCUUGUUUUCUUAAAGCCUAAUUAUAUUUCAAAAUUUUCAAAAAUGAGAAAUAAGAUUAUAAAAAGGGAAUAAUUUAAAUGAAAAUAAGUUAAAGAAAAUUGUAGAAGAAACUUUGACGGUAUAUCAGAUUCUACGUUCAAAUACCUUCAUAGCUAUUUUCAAUUCCAACAAUAGAUUCGAUCUCUCGUGUAAAAUUUAAAACUACUUUAGAACUGUCGGUCGAAGCGUUGGCAAAGUUCCUUCCAAUGAAUUCUUUCUGUUCAUGGGGUUUCCGGUUGUAAUUCGAGAUGCAGACCGAUGUCUCUACACUUUCAACGAGAAAAACAAUACGCAGGGAACAUCGAACGUAAACAAUAAGCUCAGAACGUGAAAAAGAUGAUUCAAUUGUCUAUUACGAAAUUUCUUUUUAUUUAGAAUAAAAUGCAAUUAAAAAUUUUUCAAAUUUAAAAACAAAAUAAAUUUGUUAAAUGAUAAGGAGAUAUUUACAAUAAAUUGCACAUAUAAAUGUAAGAAAUAUAUUUAUAUCAAUAUUAAAAACUCGUAUGAAAAAUGGACGAAUAAUAAAGCGUGCAAGUUUCUGCACACUUCUGUUAGGACAUAUGAGAAAAGUCUGGUGAAAAUAUGCUGAACAACGAUCGGGCUUCGAUCUUCUUAUUCUAUCGAGAAUCGAUACGUAAGACGCGUGGUCCAUCGAGGGAGGCCGUCUAACAAGCGUAUUACGUUAGAAAGAAAUGGCUAACCACGAUUCGUCGAUAGAGGGUGAAAGAGAGAAGCCGAUAGAGUCCAUCGAUCGUCGACGGCAAACACGAGCGCGCUCGCCGAAAAAAAGAUCUGCAGACUCGUCUCGAUAAUCGAGAAGAUUAUAUUAAUGUUUCCACACAGAUACAACAUUAUGUCCAAAUCUAAUAUCUUAUAAUUGGAAAAAAUGAAAAUUAGAUUGCAAAUCGUAGGCGCGAAAUGAGAGGUACAGUAAGGUAUACUUAUAGAGAAAGAGAACGGUAAAUUACAGGGCGGGUCUUGCCGUGGAAAAUCGAUGGGAAUACACGGAGAGCGUGUAGAACGAAACACGGCGGUGCUCCAGAAGAAAAUUGCUUCGCGUCUUCAUCGACGACGCGUGAUCACUUCCGUCACGGAACCCGCGCACGUAAAAGGUCCACCAUUUUCACGCUCGUGGAUCGACACGAGAAUUAUAAUAGAGAAAGAAUUUCUGAAGGAAAAAAGAAAAUGAUAAGU